rnacentral:rRNA from 1 species
GGGGAAUAUUGCGCAAUGGGGGAAACCCUGACGCGCCAUUACGGGGGAGGUGAAGAAGGUUUCGGGAUCGUAAAGCCCUGUAAUUGGGGAAGAAAAAAAGCGGUACCCCAGAAAAAAGUUCCGGGUUAACAAGGUGCCAGCAGCCGCGGUAAUACGUAGGGGACAAGCGUUGUCCGGAUUUACUGGGCGUAAAGGGCACGCAGGCGGUUUUUUAAGUCAGAUGUGAAAGGUACCGGCUCAACCGGUAACAUGCAUUUGAAACUGAAAGACUUGAGUAUUGGAGAGGCAAGUGGAAUUCCUAGUGUAGCGGUGAAAUGCGUAGAUAUUAGGAGGAACACCGGUGGCGAAGGCGGCUUGCUGGACAAAUACUGACGCUGAGGUGCGAAAGCGUGGGGAGCAAACA